CUUUAUUGUUAUUUAUUUUCUGGGUAAUACAAUUCGUAGGGAGCUUUGCCUAUGCCUUAACCUCUUUCAAGCUUGAAAAUCCUCUCUGGUCUUUUUCCUGUCUGUUAAUUAUAAUUGGGAUAGGAUAGUGAGCCCUAGCUCCCCACAUAAUUAGGGUUUAUGAUAAACCCUAAACCCGCAAUUUAUCCAAAGUUUACUAAUUUGGAUUAUGACUGCCGAACAGUGGAGAGAUGUUCAGUCGGUGAACAAGCACAACAAUUUGUGAACCUUGGUUGAGAAAAUCUUAUGUAUGAUGGCAAACAAUCAUAUACUUGUAGACGCAUAUUAAGAUACAUAAAUUUUAGGUUUGAUAGCGGGCAACAAACCUGUUUUGUGUCAUGUCAAAUUCUGACAUUUGAACACGAUGUCUCUAUACUAACAUCUUAGGGGUGUAGCGUAUUAAGAUUUAUAUGGAUUUUUGUUAUCAUUGAGAUCUGCCUUCGCGUGAGUAGACGUCAGAAGCUCGAACCUUGUUUUCUUUGCCCGUAAAAAACCCUAGAAGAUCUUAAAUACAGUGGUGAGUCUUCGAAAGUUGCAAAACAAAAGUAUUUUCAUUUCUUUUUCUUUCAAUAGAACAUAGAGCUUAUAUUUUAGGCGUACUUGUGAUUCUGUGCCUUUAAAUAUCUCUCUCCUCGUUUGAUUGAUUUUGGCCGUCUGUUAUUUUCCCAGUUCUCAACCAUCAACAAUCAAAUCCCUAAUCCAUUUAUGUCAAGUCCUUAGUUUUUUGUUUUCCCUUAUUUUUUCUUAUAAUUCUAAUUGUCUAAUUGAUUGAAAUUGGACUUGUUAGUUAUAUUUAUAAAUUGUUUUUUCUUUUGUAUUAUUUUCUCAGUGAGGCUAGCCGACAUUCACCUCUCCCAGACCCUGCGUAAAGCGGGAGCCUUGUGCACUGGGUACGACGACCUUUUGUAUUAUUUUCUCAGUGAGGCUUAACAGACAAAGAAAACAGUGGAUACUUCCACUAGUUGAGUAGAAGGUGACGACCUUAAUGAAACAACUAUGAAGGUGGCUAUUAGCUACAUCAGCGCUCAAAUUCUUUCAUCGUCCCUGGCAUCGAUGAUCAACCCCGGGAACAUUUAGGUUUUGAUCUUUCAGCCAUCCUAGUCCUCAGGACCCAACACAAUAUUAUUCAUUCUUAUAUAUUUCCUUUAAAAGAUGCAAAAGGUGUUGAUACGUCCUAUCCACAUAGAAAGCUUACCCUCUUCCACUGUUAUUUUGUGAUGUUUCGUUGUUUGAAAAUUUGCAGGGAACAGCAAUCAUACUCGAUAUGGCAAAAAGCUCUGUCGAUGCUGAAUAUGCUCGGGGUCUGUUCAUCUGUUUUUAACUAGUUAAUUUUAUAGUUUUUGCAAUACUCAUAUGCCUAUUUUGUUUGUUUUAAAUAUUUUGAUGUUAAUUUUUGGAUGUUUAAUAUUUCCACCAGAGUUAUGAUAUUUGUUCCUUUUUGAAUUGGAAGUUGCUUUAUUGAAAGAAAAAGAAGAAGACAUAAAUUAUGAUUUUCUGCUUCUGUUUGGUGUGAAUUUUGAAUCUUGAUGAUUGUUUUCUUUCCAUUUUUUUUGGAAUAAAGGAAACUUUGCGAUUUCAAGGCCCAUUGGUGUGUUAAAGUGAAAGGAUGGGUACGAAUUUUACUCGGUCAAUAUCCUAUGCACGUUUGCAUUUUUUGAACGCAGUACUACUUUGAGCUUCCAUACAUGUGAUUUGCGGAGAAGGGUGGUAUGUAUGAUAAGUUGCAGGAGACUAUCAUGAAGGAGAAUGCCGCUUGGAUUGCCGCGAGGCCUGACAUUCCUGGCAAGGAGGAUGCCAUGAGGAAUAUUGAGUUAGUUGCCAAUUCCCUUGUUGUCUUGAGUUGUCUUGAUUAAUUUGUACUGCUUCAAUAGAUUGGGAUGUUGUUUUUCCAUUUACGCUUUUGAUAUGUGUUCAGGUUAUAUAUUAAGAUAUUCAAACACAAACUCCAUACUUGUGCAAAAGCUUGGGAGUUAAGGGAGAAGCGUCGAGGCUUUGUACCAGUAAGAAUUUCACCCUGUCAAAUUUAUGUUUUACUUCCUCUCCAUGCGUUCAUUCAAUUGGAUACAUAUUAUAAUUUGAGCUCCCAUACAGGUGAUUGUGAAGGAUGGAAGGAGUGACAUUCCUUACGUUGAGUAUGACAAGUUAAUUUCCAAUUCCCUUUUGCUUUAGUUAUCUUAUUUUUGUUGUUACCGUGGAUUAGUCGUUUAUGUUUUCGGUAUAUGUUCGGAAAUUCAUCUGCAAAGGAAGAAGACAUUUGUGUUCAUAGUUCCUUGUCUUAUACGAAGGCGGGUUCUUAUUGCCUGUUCUGUUAAUUUAAUUUCUGUCUACAGAAUGCUUGUCCACGGUGAGCUGCCUCUUGGUGAAUAUAGUUAUUUCAUUCGGGCAUGGAUCGGGUGGCUCAACAUAGACACCAUAGACAAGCCUAUUUUUGUUUCCUUCAAGAACAUUGAGCCUCCCAUUGGUGAGUUCAAACUCAACCUUAUUUUAGUUUUAGGCUUAAAUAUGCCAUCUUGUUCCCAAAGUUAAAGUUGUGGCUGUUGAAAUAAUACUUCCAAUGUUUUGAUAGGUGCCUUGAUGUCUGAAGUCGAUGAGCAAAACAAGGACGAAGAUGGAUUCCUCCAUGUCACCUACGGUGGAGAAGGGAAGGCCCAUGGAACCAUCAAUCACGAGAGAGAGAGAGAGAGAGAGAGAGAGAGAUAGAGAGAGAGAGAAGACAACGCCUGGGUCUAAUUUAUUGUUGCGGAGAGGAGUUAUGCCAAUUUCAAGGUGUAAUGGAAAACUACACCAAUAAACCAAAAUAAUAUAUAUUUUUCUUCAACCACUUGCUUAGUUAUUAUAUUUUUCUUUUAUCGAUUUCAAAUUUCUAUGUCCAAGAUGAGAAGUUAUGCUAAUUUCAUAAAUGAAUCACUUUUCUCCCAAAAUAAUGCAAUUGACAAGGAUACAAUACAUUGUUGUCUAACUCUUUUAUAAUUCCCUCAAAACGAAAAAGUAUUCACACCUAUCUUCAAAUGUAUUGAACUCCGUCACUCUUAGAGCACUUUAACCUCUAACAAAUGUGCUAGCCCAAAGUCUAUUUUUUAGGCUAGCGCCCCCGCCCCCCCCCCCCCCCCCAAAAAAACCCACUCCAUCACCCAAUAGGUUGGCCCAAAAUGGAGGCCAGCUUU
rnacentral:lncRNA from 1 species